UUUCCCAUUGGACUACCACAUUUUCUCCUAAUAAUUUUGGUGGCUAUGCUAGUGGGUCUAUGUUUGGUGUCUAUGCUAUAGAUUAAAAUUGCCAGGAUCUGAAGAGGAAGGAUGUAUGUGUGGUCUCCUCCCACGUGAAAGGCCGAAUGGAAAUAU